rnacentral:rRNA from 1 species
GAUGAACGCUGGCGGCGUGCCUAAUACAUGCAAGUCGAGCGAACGGACGAGAAGCUUGCUUCUCUGAUGUUAGCGGCGGACGGGUGAGUAACACGUGGAUAACCUACCUAUAAGACUGGGAUAACUUCGGGAAACCGGAGCUAAUACCGGAUGAUAUUUUGAACCGCAUGGUUCAAAAGUGAAAGACGGUCUUGCUGUCACUUAUAGAUGGAUCCGCGCUGCAUUAGCUAGUUGGUAAGGUAACGGCUUACCAAGGCAACGAUGCAUAGCCGACCUGAGAGGGUGAUCGGCCACACUGGAACUGAGACACGGUCCAGACUCCUACGGGAGGCAGCAGUAGGGAAUCUUCCGCAAUGGGCGAAAGCCUGACGGAGCAACGCCGCGUGAGUGAUGAAGGUCUUCGGAUCGUAAAACUCUGUUAUUAGGGAAGAACAUAUGUGUAAGUAACUCUGCACAUCUUGACGGUACCUAAUCAGAAAGCCACGGCUAACUACGUG